UACGAGGGGGGCGAGCGUUGUUCGGAAUUACUGGGCGUAAAGGGUUCGUAGGUGGCCAACUAAGUCAGACGUGAAAUCCCUCAGCUUAACUGGGGAACUGCGUCUGAUACUGGAUGGCUUGAGUGUAGGAGAGGAAUGCGGAAUUCCAGGUGUAGCGGUGAAAUGCGUAGAUAUCUGGAGGAACACCGGUGGCGAAGGCGGCAUUCUGGACUACAACUGACACUGAGGAACGAAAGCCAGGGGAGCAAACGGG
rnacentral:rRNA from 1 species